CACAGGACACUCACCAUGGACUUAGGGCUCAUAUUGGUUUUCUCUGUCCUGAUUUUAAAAGGUGUCCAAUGUGAGGUACAAUUGCUGGAGUCUGGAGGAGGCUUAGUGCAGCCUGGAAAUUCCCUGAAACUCUGCUGUGCAGCCUCUGGAUUCACUUUCAAUAGUUAUGAAAUGAGCUGGGUCCGCGAGGCUCCCGGGAAGGGGCUGGAGUGGGUCGCAUCCAUUAGCAGUGGUGGUGGUAGCACCUAGCACCUCCUAUACCGACACUGUGAAGGGCCGGUUCACAAUCUCCAGAGACAAUGCCAAGAACACUCUGUACCUGGAAAUGAGCAGUCUGAAGUCUGAAGACACAGCCAUGUAUUUCUGUGCAAGAGAUGAGUAUGGCUAUAGGAUAGGG